GCAAUUUUAUUUCAAACUUCUAUUCUCAUUCAAGACUGCAUCACAUAUCAAUGUGGAAGUGUGAAUUGACUGAGUUUGUCAAUACCCUACAGAGACAAAGUAAUGGUAUCUUUCCAGGAAGGGAAAAGUUAAAAAAAAUGAAAACAGGCAGGUCUGCACUUGUUGUAACUGACACAGGAUUUGUGUAUCUUAGAGGACCAGACGAACAGGCUAAGGGUGAGACUGAUAAUAGAGGAAAGCUCUGCUUGUGCCUGGAUUAGGGUUAAAAUGACCCUGAUGAAUCUGUGUAGCUCAGGAUGAUUAGAAGCUUUUGUCCUUAGGAGAUAUGUCAUUAUUGAAUUCUCCCAGACAUCAGAGCUGUAUAAUGCAUGUUGAUAUGGAUUGCUUCUUUGUAUCAGUGGGUAUACGAAAUAGACCAGAUCUCA
rnacentral:sRNA from 1 species